AGGACUAACGCUGGCGGCGUGCCUAACACAUGCAAGUCGAACGAGGGGUAGCAAUACCCCUAGUGGCAGACGGGUGAGUAACACGUAGUCAACCUACCUCUUAAUGGGGGAUAACUAGCCGAAAGGUUAGCUAAUACCGCAUACGAUCGUCGAGUGGCAUCACACGACGAUGAAAGGAGCAAUCCGUUGAGAGAGGGGACUGCGUCCCAUUAGUUAGUUGGUGGGGUAAUGGCCUACCAAGACUCCGAUGGGUAGCUGGCUUGAGAGAGCGACCAGCCACACUGGAACUGAGACACGGUCCAGACUCCUACGGGAGGCAGCAGUGAGGAAUUUUCCGCAAUGGGGGAAACCCUGACGGAGCGACGCCGCGUGUGGGAAGAAGGCCUUCGGGUCGUAAACCACUGUCGAGGGGGACGAUAUUGACGGUACCCCUGGAGGAAGCCCGGCUAACUACGUGCCAGCAGCCGC
rnacentral:rRNA from 1 species